rnacentral:rRNA from 1 species
AGAGUUUGAUCCUGGCUCAGAAUCAACGCUGGCGGCGUGCCUCAGACAUGCAAGUCGAACGCGAAAGUUUCCUUCGGGAGAUGAGUAGAGUGGCGCACGGGUGAGUAACACGUAGGUAAUCUACCUUUGGAUGGGGAAUAACAACCGGAAACGGUUGCUAAUACCGCAUAAUGCAGCGGCACCUAAUGGUGACAGUUGUUAAAGCGGGGGAUCGAAAGACCUCGCGUCUAAAGAGGAGCCUGCGGCGGAUUAGCUAGUUGGUAAGGUAAUGGCUUACCAAGGCUACGAUCCGUAACCGGCCUGAGAGGGCGGUCGGUCACACUGACACUGACAUACGGGUCAGACUCCUACGGGAGGCAGCAGUGGGGAAUAUUGCGCAAUGGGGGAAACCCUGNACGCAGCGACGCCGCGUGGGUGAUGAAGGCCUUCGGGUCGUAAAGCCCUGUCGGGAGGGAAGAAACACUCCGGACCUAAUACGUCCGGGAAUUGACGGUACCUCCUAAGGAAGCACCGGCUAACUCCGUGCCAGCAGCCGCGGUAAUACGGAGGGUGCUAGCGUUGUUCGGAAUCACUGGGCGUAAAGGGCGUGUAGGCGGUCUGUUAAGUCUGAUGUGAAAUCCCCUCGCUCAACGAGGGAACUGCGUCGGAUACUGGCAGACUUGAGUACCGGAGAGGAAGGUGGAAUUCCCGGUGUAGCGGUGAAAUGCGUAGAUUUCGGGAG